AAAGCCUGUUUCUUCGUACCCGCAACCCCCGAACCACCCGAACUAAUUUUCCCUUUUCUUCCCAAAAUCAAAUGAACCCCUAUAUAAUUUCAAUCUUUUUGUGAUUUGGGUUCAGAUCCCCAACGCCUCUCGUUCUCUCUCUUCUGUGGUUGCCAAAAACAGCAAAUACGCAGGCCAAGCCUGCUAUCUCCAGUCGCUGCUUGUCUAAAUUGGGCAAGAGCAAUAAUUGCUCUUGCCCUCUCACACCGUCACCACCGUAUCUCAACUCCGAAAAAGGAUAAAAUCUUUUCUCUUUCCUUUUCCUUUUUCUGCACAGCAAGGAUGAGUUCUUAAUGAGUUUUGUCUUAUUCAUGAUUUUUCAUUAGUUUUCGUUGAAUCACAAGGAUUCAAGAGGAAUCCCUUCAAAACUAGAAGUCCCACAUCGUUUGAAAACACGAAAAUUGAGGGGUUCUAUAUAUAAAAUCCCAUGCCCUUCAAGUUGAACAAGUCUUUUCGGAGCAAAAAACUCCAAUAUUUUAAGUCUCAGCGAGGAAUCCAACUUGAAUUGGAACCCUUCCUUAGUUUUCUUAAUUUUUUGGAUUAGAUUUAAAAGUUUUUAUCUCUCUUUGUGUUUGUGUUGCUGUGUACAAGUGUGGAGGAGUUCAAAAGAUCCCCAAGUCCAUUCUCGACCAAGGCUGCCCGAAAGAAAGAAGAAUAUGCGACUGUACAGAGGAAAAUGAAGGAUUAAAAAGUAGAAUGUGGAGGUGUGUAAGUUGUGCAAGGAAUUAAGAUUUGGAGGUGUGUAAGUAAUGCAGUUAUCAUAUUUUAUUUUAUCUGAAUUUUUUUGAUGCAAUUCUUCUUAUUCAGGUCGUAGUUAGAAGUUUGCGGGAAGAGCUCUUUGUGUAGUUAUAGACUUAAAGAAGAUGAACAACAAGAACAAGAAAGGCGAUAAAUGACGAGGGUUACAACACCAGAUUCGCAAAUCACUUAAAACAGUUGGCACACACUGUGAAUGGGCUAUAACUUAUUUUCUAACAAUACGUUGACAGAAGUGCAGAAUACAAAGGCAUUUUGAAGUGGUGGUGAUCAAUCAUUAAGAAGUAAGAAGGAUUGUUAUGCUGAUCUGGAAGUUUUUGAUUGCCUCAAUGUUUUAGAUUUACAGGUAAAG